UGUGCUUUCCCUCAGAAAAGUCCCCCUGUGAAGAUCCUGAAUACAUUCCUACACUAAAGCAGCUUCUGCAAGGACCAGCUGAAAACAGUGAUACAGGGGAGCACAAGGAGCAGAGCUUACUUGAUGGCCUCCAGGAUCUAAACCGGAUGAUUGGUGUGAAAUAUAAGAGGGCGGAGUCUCUGUCCUGUAAACUUCUCCUUCAGUCACUGCAUUUGCAGCGUCCCAGCUCUGAAUGUGCGACAGUUCGACCGAAGACCAGUGCCAGAUUUUCUCCAAAUCUCCCAACGUCCAACCAGCAAUUAGCUGCAAACGCUAAGAGAAGACUGUCAUAUGACUUCAACAGAAAUAUAAUGGUUUAGUCUCUAUAUCUGCUGAACAUCUUUGACCUGUGCUUCCUUGAAAACAGGAAAUACAGGACAGAGGAAAAAUACAUGCUGGAAAACUGAAUAACUGAGUUUCCAUACAUUCUAUUCGAGGUUUAUUUAAAGUGUAUUUCUUCUUUCAGUGUCUGUUCUCACUCAGUGUCUGGUAGAUUCUGUUUCUCAUUCAGUUGUGUAUCAAGACACACUAGACCUAUGUUUAACCAAAUAUAUGUUUUUCAGUAUUUCAGAAUAUUGGGGUUCAAUUAGGACAAAUAUAAAAAAUGUCAAGUUAAAACCCCCUUUGCCAAAUUGUUCAGUCCAGUUAUUGGAGUCUGGUUAUUGGACCCAUUUUGAUAUAACUGAUAUAUUCAGAUGAAAUGUCAAUAUGCAUUUGUGUAUUACUUUCAAUCAUUGCUAUGGAUUAUAUUUGUUAGAAUAAUAAUAUUUUUCUGGUGUCAUAGCAAACCAGUUAGUGCACAUUCUCACAGGGAUGUAGAUUCAUAUCUGGCCUGUCACGUCCUGAUCCACGUCCCAAACUUUCCUUUCUGCUGACUCAGAAAACUGAAUAAAAAAUAAUAAUGUGAUUUUAGGGGGAUUAGGAUCAACUCUAGCUCCCUGCAAUCUCUCCUUCGCCUGUCUGAAACUGUCAAAGCAAAUUUCCACAAAUUGUAUUUUCAUACACCACCUCACACAGACAUCCAUUUUUUUGUCUUUUUUCCCUGUGCUUGAAGUACUAAAUAUAACACUGUAGUGUACCAUUUUUAACUCCUGACGAAUAGAGACCAUAUUUUCAGAAGUGUUUUAAAAUUAAUGUUGACAUAUGAAAUUGAACCUGUAAGCUUGUUUGUUGAUUGAUGUAAUUAAAACAUCUUUGAAGGAUUGAA